rnacentral:tRNA from 1 species
AUUGGUCCUAUGAUAGCCUUCAGUAGUGCUAACGAUGACCGUAGGUUUUAUUCAAUCUUUAUUAUUA